AUACGGAGGAUCCGAGCGUUAUCCGGAUUUAUUGGGUUUAAAGGGAGCGUAGAUGGAUGUUUAAGUCAGUUGUGAAAGUUUGCGGCUCAACCGUAAAAUUGCAGUUGAUACUGGAUAUCUUGAGUGCAGUUGAGGCAGGCGGAAUUCGUGGUGUAGCGGUGAAAUGCUUAGAUAUCACGAAGAACUCCGAUUGCGAAGGCAGCCUGCUAAGCUGCAACUGACAUUGAGGCUCGAAAGUGUGGGUAUCAAACAGGAUUAGAUACCCUGGUAGUCCACACGGUAAACGAUGAAUACUCGCUGUUUGCGAUAUACGGCAAGCGGCCAAGCGAAAGCGUUAAGUAUCCCACCUGGGGAGUACGCCGGCAACGGUGAAACUCAAAGGAAUUGACGGGGGCCCGCACAAGCGGAGGAACAUGUGGUUUAAUUCGAUGAUACGCGAGGAACCUUACCCGGGCUUAAAUUGCAAAGGAAUAAUCUGGAAACAGAUUAGUCUUCGGACCUUUGUGAAGGUGCUGCAUGGUUGUCGUCAGCUCGUGCCGUGAGGUGUCGGCUUAAGUGCCAUAACGAGCGCAACCCUCGCCGCCAGUUACUAGCAGGUAAUGCUGAGGACUCUGGCGGGACUGCCAUCGUAAGAUGUGAGGAAGGUGGGGAUGACGUCAAAUCAGCACGGCCCUUACGUCCGGGGCUACACACGUGUUACAAUGGGCGGUACAGAAGGCAGCUACCUGGCGACAGGAUGCCAAUCCCUAAAGCCGCUCUCAGUUCGGACUGGAGUCUGCAACCCGACUCCACGAAGCUGGAUUCGCUAGUAAUCGCGCAUCAGCCACGGCGCGGUGAAUACGUUCCCGGGCCUUGUACACACCGCCCGUCAAGCCAUGAAAGCCGGGGGUACCUGAAGUGCGUAACCGCAAGGAGCGCCCUAGGGUAAAACCGGUAAUUGGGGCU
rnacentral:rRNA from 1 species